GACGAACGCUGGCGGCGUGCUUAACACAUGCAAGUCGAACGGAAAGGCCCUGCUUGCAGGGUACUCGAGUGGCGAACGGGUGAGUAACACGUGGGUGAUCUGCCCUGCACUUCGGGAUAAGCCUGGGAAACUGGGUCUAAUACCGGAUAUGACCUUCCAUGUAGUGUGGGGGGUGGAAGGAUUUAUCGGUGUGGGAUGAGCCCGCGGCCUAUCAGCUUGUUGGUGGGGUAAUGGCCUACCAAGGCGUCGACGGGUAGCCGGCCUGAGAGGGUGGACGGCCACAUUGGGACUGAGAUGCGGCCCAGUCUCCUACGGGAGGCAGCAGUGGGGAAUAUUGCACGAUGGGCGGAAGCCUUAUGCAGCGACGCCGAGUGGGGGAUGACGGCCUUCGGGUUGUAAACCUCUUUCGACAGGGACGAAGCUUCGGUGACGGUACCUGUAUAAGAAGCACCGGCUAACUACGUG
rnacentral:rRNA from 1 species